ensembl:misc_RNA 7SK 7SK RNA
GGAUGUGAGGGCGAUCUGGCUGCGACAUCUGUCACCUCAUUGAUCGCCAGGGUUGAUUUGGCUGAUCUGGCUGGCUAGGCGGGUGUUCCCUUCCUCCCUCACUGCUCCAUGUGUGUCCUUCCCGAAGCUGCGCGCUAGUUCGAAGAGGACAACCUUCCCAGAUAAAAGAGAGGACCAUUCUUCCGUCAAGGGUAUACGAAUAGCUGCGCUCUCCUGCUAGAACCUCCAAACAAGCUAUCAGAGAAUAAUGCCUAAAAUACAUGUAUGUUUAAUACAGAGAGUGUAUUUUCUUUUAGACUGUAGAAAAAAAUCAAAAAGUAGAUGGCUUGAGGGCCAUAUCUCUCAUAG